rnacentral:rRNA from 1 species
GACACGCUGGCGGCGUGCCUAACACAUGCAAGUCGAACGGAGCUUUGUGGAAUGCGACUUCGGUCAAAUGAAAUAAAGCUUAGUGGCGAACGGGUGAGUAACGCGUGAGGAACCUGCCUCUCAGUGGGGGACAACAGUUGGAAACGACUGCUAAUACCGCAUAAAACCGUAGUACCGCAUGGUACAUCGGUCAAAGAUUUAUUGCUGAGAGAUGGCCUCGCGUCUGAUUAGCUAGUUGGUAGGGUAACGGCCUACCAAGGCGACGAUCAGUAGCCGGACUGAGAGGUUGACCGGCCACAUUGGGACUGAGAUACGGCCCAGACUCCUACGGGAGGCAGCAGUGGGGAAUAUUGGGCAAUGGGCGAAAGCCUGACCCAGCAACGCCGCGUGAAGGAAGAAGGCCUUCGGGUUGUAAACUUCUUUUACCAGGGACGAACACAAUGACGGUACCUGGAGAAAAAGCAACGGCUAACUACGUG